rnacentral:misc_RNA from 1 species
UGUGAGUGUCACACAGCCUCAACAGAAGGUCGAGUUGAAUACACCUUUCAAAAGCAGUUUGGGGUAAAUGACAGCGGCGAGUGGGUCUUUGAUGUUUGGAAUACAGGUGUCAAGACCUCUGUUUACAUCACUGUCCAAGCUGAGUGCUUCUCGCUAGAAAUAAAGGGAGGAGAAAGCAAUUUCACAUUUUGCUGAAGGUGUGAUGUCCGACAUUCUCUUUCACGUCAAUAAUGAUAGAAAUAAAGAUCAAGUUACCUUAUUUAUAUAUAAAAAUGGACAAAGGUAUGAUGCUAAUGUUUGCAAGCUCGUACUGACAACACUACCUGUGUCAGUCCCACUAAGAGUUGUCAGUGUCACACAAGCUCAUCAGAAGGCCAGAGUUGAAUACACCUUUCAGAAGCAGUUUCAGGUAAAUGACAGAGGCGAGUGGGUCUUUGAUGUUUGGAAUACAGGUGUCAAGACCUCUGUUUACAUCACUGUCCAAGAUAUUCGGACCACAAUGCCACCGACUCCAAAGACAUCGACUCCAGGUGAAUGCCUUUCGGUGGUAAUAAAAAGUCAAGAAAUGUUUACUGUCUGGGAAGGGGAAAUAGAAAUUUCCUUCUACGUCAAUAACAUCAAGAAGGAUAAAAAUAUUACCCUGGACAUUUUUAAGAAUGGACAGGAUAAAGACGAAUUAAGCUCGUGCAGUCUUGUAUUGGGACAGAACUUCUGUAUUUCACACCAUCUGUUGUGCAAAUGCUCCACAAAUCUUAUCGAAGGUCAGGUCGAAUACGUAUUUAGGAAGAAGUUUCGAGCACAAGACAGCGGCGAAUGGGUCUUUGAUGUUUGCAGUACAAAGGUCAGGACUUCCAUGACUGUCAAUGUCCAAGCUUCGAGGACAAAACACAUUUUAGUAAAUGGAGGUCGUCAAAACCUGACUCUUAAGUUUAACGAAUCAUUUAACCUCCAGUUCUCUUUCCCUGACCCCAUGGAAGACGAUGAAGGCAUCAUCCUCGUUCAGCAUCGCCCUCUGUAUGCUGCUGUGUUUGGGAGGAGAUGUGUCAUCGUGAGGUCUCCGAAAAACUGCUCGAGCUCGAUGGAACUGUGUCGGUGCCUGGGACCUCCCUUCGGCAUGUACAGCCUCCGUAAGGUCGUCACCAAGGAAGAUUAUGGAACCUGGCUUAUAAAUCUGUGGAAAGCACAUCACGAACGUGAAGAGACUUUGUAUAUUACUGUGGAAGGUAUUUCAUGAUUGGUGAACAUACUGUGGUUGUGACUAUGCAUUUCAUUUUGACUUAUUUGUGUAUAUCGUAUACAUUACUGUUUUUAUGAUUCGGCUUUCCGCCCGUCAACCUUUUUUCGUAAUAAAAAAAAAUCACAUUCAUUCCGAUACUGAAGAAGUUCGAUAGAAUUGUUGGCUAUAUCUUAACAAGCAGAGAAAACUUUAUUCGCGUACCUUCCUCGGGCAAAAUAUUUCAAGAGGACCUGAAAACAGAUUUUAUCUUUUCUUUCCUUUUCAGUAAGUAUACACUAUUUUGACAAUAACUAAUACAUUUUUUACAUGAGUUAUUUCAGAAUUGCAUUUUUAUUAAGGAGUUUACCUUGGUUAUAGUUAUAAAUGAUGCUCACCAAAUAUACUUUUUAAACUACUAAUGGCUAGGUUAUCUGAUAAAGAAAAACUGCAAGUGAUUUUACAUUUAAGUGGGGUUUUUUCAGAAGAGAGCUAACCACGAGAGACAAUUCAAACUGAUGAUUUAAAAGCAGAGCGUUACUGUCGGUAGCAUCAUCAUCAUUGUCGCCAUAACAAUUAUUAUUUCAGAAUUCCAAGUCCUAUGGUGUUGACCCAGGUUCCUUUUGGAACAGUUUUGCGCGUCCCCAUGACAACAGAAGGUACGAGUUUUGUUUAACAGAAAACGUUUUAACUGUCACUGCUACUCCCAUUGGUUUUAAUGAACAAUAUAAACAGAGGAAAAAAUUACUGUCUUAUUUGUAUUGUUAAUAUUAGCUCAUUUUUCCGAAAGCUGCAUGUAUUACAUUAUUGCCUACUAUUUUAAAUAUUUUCUUAGUCUUUUUCAUAAAAAAAAAACUAUUACGAGAUGAGCAGCAUACAUUCUAUAAAUUUCAUUCAACAGCAUUGGGAUCUGGUUUAAAGUUGCAGAAGGAGAAUGUUGUGCUCCAUCUUUAUGUUAUGUAGGGAAGGAAGAUAAUGGUUUGUCAAGUCUGUAUAUUCUUCAAUGUCUGGCAGUAACAGAACUGAGAAUUUUUGUUUUACCGAUGCCUUUCGCUGUCAAGUAAUAAGCUCAUAGCAGUUGGAAAAUAUGUACACCUGGCACAUGACCACAAAUCCGAUCAUGUUCAUCCACAUUUGCAGUGCCCUGUAUCGCAAUGGCAGUCGGCUUAGUGCAUGUAAGUGGCUCAUUGGCUCUACCUUGCAAGUCUGUUCUUGUGUGUCUAUAAGGAAACGGGUAAAUUGUGUAUCUGCAGCUGCAUGUUUUAAUUCUAAGCUUUCAAGACAACCAGGCUUGUGGUGACAAAAAGCAUCUCCCUUUCAAAGACUUUUGUAGGUUUUUGAGAGAGAGAAAGAAAGGUAAAGAUGUGUAAAUAAGGUGUUUAUUUAUAUAUAAAACAUAAACAUGAAAUUUUACAUUCCUUUCUCUCUAUAUAUAUAUACGUAAAACCCUACUUUAUAUAUAUUAUGGUUUAAAAGGAAAACACAUAUAAAACAAAAGCCUUUUUAUGAGUAAUUCCAAUAACAGUGUAGGACAGUGUCAAGCUCUAGUAAUGUAACAAACAACACUGUAAUUAAUCAAGAGGACAACAAAGCAGCUUAAUAUUUUGAAGAACUGGAGGAAGUCUUUAAGGAAGUUUUUCACUGUGUAGUGUCCGGCUCAGAAAUCCAGAUGAAGUGGUUCUCUGUGUGUUCUUCUGUGCACACAUCGUCUACAAGUAAUGGCUUCUAAGGUUGAGUGUCACAAAAGAUUUCUGAUAACUUUGCUGAUAUCCGUCUUUACUUUUUUUGAAGAUUGUCGCAUGUGGAAAAUGCAGACCGACAGCCAUGAUAUUACUGUGGAAAAUGGAGUGGAGUCCAACAUUGAUUUCUUCCUCACUGAUUACCGAUCUCUGAAUGUUAGUCUUCGACUAAUUGUCCAACAUCGAUUAAGUAAUGGAAGUUUUAACAAAACGUGUCAGAUUGAACACUCAUAUGAACGAGUUUGUCAGCCGACACUCGGUCCAUGCCAAUGUAUUGGGGAAAGUUCAGGAUUAUAUCGAUAUCGACUGAGGAUGACCUUUACAGAGCAAGAUGGCGGCCAGUGGGUGUUUAAAAUUUUCAACCAUGAGCAAACGAUUGUCAACAUUACAGUGAUUCCUCGUCGUGCCUUAAAACUCUACACCAACAGCCAGAGUAUAACUGUUGAAGACGGAUUGAAAUCAGACAUCUACUUCUUUCUGAAUGACUCUACAGCUGUAGACAUCGGCGUGAAUAUAGUUGUUCAACAUCAAAAAGUUGAUGGUUUGACAUUUGACCCUAAAUGUCGCAUACACCACUCAAAGACACGCGGUUGUCAAAUCUUAUUUGGCCCGUGUGAGUGCAUAGGUGAAAGGUCAUUUACAUAUCAAUACCGAUUGAUGAAGGUCUUUACAGAACAAGAUGGCGGUCUGUGGAAGUUUGACAUUGUCAGUCAUGAGGGGACGAUUGUUAACAUCACAGUCAUUGCAUCACUUCUUCACAAGAUAACCAGAGUACAGAACCUUCACAAGUGACGGGCCUGACUCCUCCCAUCGAAAGUUUUACUCUCUCAACAACAACAUUAGUCAUUUUGGUUAUUACUGCUAUUGUCAUCUUCAUCAUCAUAUCAGUGGUCGCAAUUAUUCGAUGUCGUCUCAGGUCCAAACACGAUCUGGAGGGAGAAGAAGAUAGUUUGGAAUACAUAAACUGCAGAUCUGAGAAUUUCAUGGAACCUUUGUCACGUGAUGGGCAGUCAGCUGACCACCCUGGCUAGUUCACCAACCGGGAUGACUAGCAGCUCUUGCAAUAGAGUUCUUAAGGAAAGAUGAAGCAUGUAAUCACUAAGUGCCAUUGAUACAUCAACUACAUCACAUCAGCACCAGAAAGGCGACUGUGACAGCUGCACCAGAAGCACCAAAAAGAUCAGCAAUGUCGUCAACAUCUUCACCUCCACAAUACCAUCCUCAUCACCACGUCUUCACUACAUCUUGGUGUGGGACUGCCAUCAGAAUAAACAAUAUUAACUUUAGAACCGAAGCCACGUGCUUAGGACCAUUGCCAUCUCCAAAUGAAACCCCACAAACACUAGCGCCACUAACACCAGCAGUACAAUCACCAUUUGCACCAGCACUGAUGCCAUUUAAAGAAAGAAUAGGGUUAGCAGAAGCUUCAUCGAAUGCACCAGUACCUCUAGUAUCACCAUGGCAUCCCGUCCACCGCCAAAACCAUCAGAAGGAUCGCCAUUACAAAAAUUCUAAUGCUUGGUCUACGGAAUCUGAAACAGAUAUUAAAGUGAUAUUAAAAGAACAGUUCUAGACACUUCCUCCUUUCUGCUAACAAAAGAACCUGAGGAUUAGAGGAAGCAAACUUUACAUCGUAUACAUGGAGUGUUUUUGUCAUAUUCGUUUUGUUACUAAAUGCACCACUUCAGUUUGCUAGGAUGAAAAUUGUUUAGAAGCCGCAUUGUCUCUUACAUAUUAGUUAAUUUUAAAUUUAAAACAAAAAAGUGCCAAAUGACAUGGUAUCUAUUUUAAAAUACCGUUUUUGUAUGUUAGAUAAGUUUCAA